rnacentral:rRNA from 1 species
AUUGAACGCUGGCGGCAUGCCUUACACAUGCAAGUCGAACGGUAACAGGUCUUCGGAUGCUGACGAGUGGCGAACGGGUGAGUAAUACAUCGGAACGUGCCCAGACGUGGGGGAUAACGAGGCGAAAGCUUUGCUAAUACCGCAUACGAUCUAAGGAUGAAAGCAGGGGACCGCAAGGCCUUGUUCGUUUGGAGCGGCCGACGGCAGAUUAGGUAGUUGGUGGGAUAAAAGCUUACCAAGCCGACGAUCUGUAGCUGGUCUGAGAGGACGACCAGCCACACUGGGACUGAGACACGGCCCAGACUCCUACGGGAGGCAGCAGUGGGGAAUUUUGGACAAUGGGCGAAAGCCUGAUCCAGCAAUGCCGCGUGCAGGAUGAAGGCCUUCGGGUUGUAAACUGCUUUUGUACGGAACGAAAAGGCUCUGGCUAAUACCUGGGGCACAUGACGGUACCGUAAGAAUAAGCACCGGCUAACUACGUG